UCACCCCUCAAGCCCCCGGGCUUGGUGUUGGACGGUUUGGUGAAGGCCUCCGGGCGGUCACCCCUCCUAAAGACAAUGACGGCGGCCUGUUGGAACCCCCGGUACAUUGAGCUUCUUAACUGAGCACGUAUCGGAUCAAGGGAGCCCAGGCCCCGGUCUUCUCCCUUCAUUGGGAAAAUUUAUCAAGG
rnacentral:misc_RNA from 1 species